GCCCGCUUGGCACAGCGGUAAUGCGCCUCACUAGUAUCCAUGCGCUUACUAAUGAGAAGGCUAUGAGGAGAUGACUGGUUCGACUCCAGUAGUGGGCA